GUAGGUGAACCUGCGGAAGGAUCAUUAUUGAAUAAACAUUUGAUAGGCUGUUGCUGGCCCCUUGGUAGUGUGCACGCUUGUCAUUUAUUUGUUUGUUUUUCCACCUGUGCACCUUUUUGUAGACCUUAGAAUUUGGGAACUGCUGUGCGAGUGCCAGCUUUUCCUUGUCUCUCUCUAGGUUCUAUGUUUUUCACAUACUCCUACGAAUGUAAUAGAAUGUUGAUCUGGGUAUAAAGUUAUAUACAACUUUCAGCAAUGGAUCUCUUGGCUCUC
rnacentral:misc_RNA from 1 species